AGAUGACCAUGAAUACAGCAGGAAAUGAUAAUAACAUCUUUGGUAUCUGUUGAUAUGUAAAUGUUCUAAUGCAGUAAACUGUCAGGAAACAGCAGUUUGUUUUCGUCUUUUUGGUGUUUAGACAUACCAAAAGUGAUGCUCUUCAAUUUAAAAACCGAUAAAGGUUGUAACCAGCUGGUAAUGUUUUGACAGAAAAAUGAACUUCUGUUGUAUAUUUGUAUACAUAAUUGAACAUUUUGAUAAGAUUUAAGAAAAGUACAUAACUUUGUGGUGUUGGGAAACUUAUUUCCCUCACCAGGAGAUUGUUGCAUACAUGUACGGGUGAUAACUUCCAGACAGAGGUAGUUACAAUAUCUGUACGGGAAUGAGGAUUAUUUAUAAGACUGAAAUUAUUGUAUUAUUUGCUGGAAAUGUGGAAUAUGAGGAAUUUAAAGCCAUUCGUGAGUAGUUUUUGAUGAUUCAGCUGGACAAAUGCUGGAAAUUAUACAGUUUUCUCCCACCUUAAAACAGUACAUGGUAUAUCAUGGACACCAAAAGCAAACUAUAAAGAUCUAAAUGCCAUAAUUUUGUGCAUCUUGAAAACUGGAAAAAGCGCAUCACUUUGAAGCAGAUGAUAGUGAUAGUGUUUUAAAGAAUCCUUUGCGACAGUUAUACCAGUUGGAACAGAUAAAAGAUACAUCAGAUGACAGACUUACAUAUAGAGGAGCCUAUAAUUAGAGAAAUGGAUCAACUUGAUUUUGAAGUUAACCUACUGCAUUAAUAUGAAAAUUCAUAAGUGACUGAGGUUAAAGAAAAUCACACAUGAAACUGUAACCAGUUUGGGAGACUCAUACAACAGAACAUUUCAAUACCUAUUAAGUUUUUUAUGUAUAUGUUUGACUUUUGGUAAUAUUUUGGAAGUAACUUUAGUAAUUGAGAGACCUCAAUGUUGAAAAUGCCAAUUUUGAUAGAGGACAAUUUUAAGAAUAUCAACUUAGUUGUUUAUGAAUCUUUAUCUUUUAAAAUAUUACUGGGUGUCUGAAAGAAUAUUUCAAAAUUUUCUGAAACUAUUUAGAUAUUUAUCAUGUUUCAUGUGUUUAUAUAGGCAAAUAUUUAUACAUGUCAUUUAUGUUAUGCAAGGGUUUAUAUGAAUUUCGAAAAAGAUGUAUUAUUAUAUAUAUGUGUUGAUAAAAUAAGUUCCAAAUUAUUACAGAAUAACAGAAAAUGGGAUCAAUUUAUAUUAAAACAAAUCUGUUUUAAAAGGGAAUGAAAAGUCAAAAAUUGUAUUUUUUUAAAUAAUUGUGUUAACAUUUUUGUGCUAUUUAGAAAUAUGUACACAAAAAAAAUAUAAGUAUCAAUGUAGUAUGCCCUUGUUAUUUUUUGUUUUGUGCAGUACAUGCAUUUGAAUCUUGAUCAAAAUUUAUGGAUUGAAUUACUAAACAGAAUAAACUAAUUGUUAUGUUAACACUGUUGCUAAGUAUAUGUCACAUUUAAUCAGGCCAAGUUAUCCGUCUUAUUAACAAAGGAGGUUUGAUAUGAUUGCCAAUUUCAAGGCUACAUGUACCUAUCACAGUUUUCUUUAGGCCAUAAUCAUUGUGAUGUAUGGAAAUAAUUAUCUGUUGUCAUUAUCAUAUUCUGACUUUUAUACAAACCAAGUGAUGAAGAUAAAGGGUGCUUCUAUUUCCAAAGGUUUUGAAGAAACUGCUAUGGAACACAAUAAAAAUCAGAUGUAGUAUAACAGUGGCGGAUCCAGAAAUUUUCAUAAGAGGGGGCCCACUGACUGACCUAAGGGGGCCCCUCCAGUCAUGCUUCAGUGUUUCCCUAUAUGACCCCCCCUGCCCCCCCUAAAUCCGCCUCUGCAUAAUUGUAAUCAGACAACUCUCCAUUAAGAGACCAUACAAUGUAAAAGUUUAUAGUAAUAGGUACAGCCUUCAAUAAAGAAUUAAACCACUCUGCAUAAUCAUAUUUGAUUUUGCAAAAACAAAGAGCAUGCUUAUUUAUAGAUUUUGUCACUAUCAAUUAUAUACGUGCAUGUACUAAUGUAUUCAUGUGGUGUCUGUCCUUGAUUUGAAAUCCCCCCCCCCCAAAAAAAAAAUAAAAUAAAUAAUUAUAAAUGGAAAAGAUCCAUGGUCAUGAUGGUCAUGCCAGUUGGAAGUUCAGAAUAUAUCAGGUUGAGAAAUGAGGAUCUAAUCAUUUAUUGUUCGACCGCAAACAAUUUUUGGGAAUGUAUAAUGGUAUGAUGUCGUCAUUGUUGUUGUCUGAAGACACAUUGUUUUCCGGACAAUACCUUCUGUUUAAAUUAAUAGAUAUCUAUGAAAUUAUGUUAUAAGGUUCAAUUCCCCUAAAGGAAGGUUUGGAUAAAUUUGGGGAUGAUGGUCCUUGGAACACAACAGAUUGUCUUGAGGUGCUGCACACAUGUGCCAAAUAUCGAAAGAUUUUGUCAAAGGGCAAACAGAUAAUGCUCCCGACACAAAAUUGUAAACAAAAGUCAUCUUUUAAAAUUGAGGUCAAAGGUCAAAGUACAGCAAAAAAUUGUAUUAUAGGUAUCUGUGGCAUUGACUUGUGAUCUAGAUGCCAAUUCAGUGAGAAUUUUCUUGCAUCUUCCAACUAAGUACUUUCAUGGUGAAAAUUUGUACAAAAAAGGCCUACAGGAAAUGAAUAGUGUACAUUUUAUGCUUGCUAUGGCAACCGAGGGAACAAAGUGGCGACAAGACUACAACUUUUUUUCUUUAUUUUUUUUCAUCAAAAACUCACUAAAACAUG